rnacentral:misc_RNA from 1 species
UAGAGACGAGGUACAAAGAUAAAUGAAAUGAGUAUUAAGAAAUUUA